CAACUCUUCUGGUUUCCUCUACUAUGAGUGGAAGGUUUGAAUCCUGGAGGUGGGGUCUCCAGUAUGGAGUUCUGGAAACUGUGAGGUGAUUUGCAGAAUGGUAGAUAACGCAGAUCAUCUCUGGAAAGGAUAUUGAUCCUCCUCAUGUAAAGUAUGCUCAGUUCCUUUCCAGUGGUUUUGCUGGAAACCAUGUCUCAUUAUACAGAUGAACCCAGAUUUACCAUAGAGCAGAUAGAUCUGCUUCAGCGACUUCGGCGUACUGGAAUGACUAAACAUGAAAUUCUCCAUGCCUUGGAAACUUUGGACCGUCUUGAUCAAGAGCAUAGUGACAAGUUUGGAAGAAGGUCCAGCUAUGGAGGAAGUUCAUAUGGGAAUAGUACCAACAAUGUCCCAGCAUCUUCCUCUACAGCUACAGCUUCCACACAGACGCAGCAUUCGGGAAUGUCCCCAUCACCUAGCAACAGUUACGAUACUUCCCCACAGCCUUGCACUACCAAUCAAAAUGGGAGGGAGAAUAAUGAGCGAUUAUCUACAUCCAAUGGAAAGAUGUCACCAGCUCGCUACCAUGC
rnacentral:sRNA from 1 species